CAUUUUCAUACCUGUUUGUCCGGUACGUGUGAACUCCAAAACCUCGGAGAGCCCAUCACAAUCAGAUCUGCUGACAACUUCCAGCUAAUGUGCUGCACUUCAGAGAAAAUGAAAGCCCAGGUUCUGUUGCUGCUCCUCGUUGUUGUUGUUGUCAGGGUUGAGUUGAUGUCCGUCCGUUCUCAUGGGGACUCACCAGUUAUUCCAGAAGACGUGGCCCUUGCAGAAAUGAGAGGGGAACAGGGAGAAGUGAAGGCUGCGCCCCCUGAACCAAUCACUGAACGUUUCUCAAAAUCUUAAAAGUUUUCUCAGAGUGAAGAAAUGGAGGGAGAAAAGAGAGUAAAGAGUCUUUCCAUUUUUGCACCUAAUUACUUGCCAAAGCUGUUCAUGUGCUCAUUAUGUCUAAGAAAGAUGUUCCUCUAAUUUGAUAAAAAUAUGCAAAAACAUUGUCUUAAAACAUGUUCCUACAAAGAUUGCAUUGCACUUAACUAAAAUAUCAUUAAAAAAUAAAAUGUUAAU